rnacentral:lncRNA from 1 species
GAACAUGGGAGCAAGUAAAGGUAAAAUACAAGAACAUUCUACAAAAUGCUACUAGGAAAAGGUGUGAACAAAAAAAACGGGUGGUGGUCCUGCACCUCCACCUCAUACCCCGGCAGAAGAGCUUGCCCUUGGUUUUAAUGCAAACAGGCCAAUUGUUCAGGGCAUACCAGGGGGCAGCUCUUCCCUAGAGCCACAGCCAGGGACCAGUAAGGGCACCACAGUCAUCACUGUUUCUAAUGAUACACCUACACUUAUAUCAAUUCCAUUUGAAGUUGUGGCAUAAGUGAACAGUGAGGAGACUCUUUCAGAUGAGUGUUUUGAGGAGUUGACAGAGUCCAUGCCUUCUAAGAGGCCUUUUGACCGGCACAGUGAUAAAGAGGGUGACAUUCGUUCUCUAUAUAAGAGGAGCCUCCAACAUAAAGUGGAGUAUUUAGAGCUUAAAAAACAAAAACUACAAGGAGAAAUCGAGCUGCAGCAACUAAUGAAAACAAAAAUGGAGCUAGAAAUACAAUUGUUGCAAAAAGAACUUCAGAGUAAGCAAAAGAUGACGUGUGUGUGUGUGU